GCUUAGCAUAGCUUACAAAUAAUAAGCUCUAAAUAAAUUCUUAUUGAUGGAUUGAAACUCCUGUCAUGAUAGAACUGCUGCCUGACUUGCUCUACUGUACUUAACCAUAUGAAAGAGGAACCAAGAUCUAAGCCUCCAAUAAACAUGGUGGGCUUAAACAUCAGGAAUUUUUCUAUCCAGCUUUACCCAGGACAAGAGCCUUACCACCAUGACUUCUUUCAGGAACAGGCUUCAGAAGCCAGGAACCAUGUGUUUAUUCUUUGUUUAGGGCAACUUUGGAUCCUACAAUCACACAUUUCGAAUUAAAAGAGAUGUUAGAGACCAGUGAGUCCUACCCUUUCAUUCUGAGAAUGAAGAAACGGAGGCACAGAAAUGUUAAGUAAUUUGCUCCAAGUCUCACUACUAAAUUAUCCAAGGUUAAUGGACAACCAGUAUAUUUUUAAAAUAAUGGAGUUACACAAGCAUAAUGAGGGGCAGAAAAUAAUAACCAGGCUGCUUGCAUCACCAACAAAUGUGAAGGUAAGAAGAAAAGGGGAAGAACUGUUAAAAGAUGACUAUAAUAAUCUAAACGUGAGAGCAUGAGAAUGUGGACUUAUAUUUCAACUCUAGAGUGGCUAAGCAUUUUCUCAUUUUAGAAAUGUUAAAUAACUGAUGAUGACAUGACCUUGUUAGAGAACCAAUAUAGUAUGGGAGGGAGGAAACAGGUCCACGUCAAAAAUAACCUUGUGGAAGGACUAGGCAUAAUGGAACUGAAUUAACUCGGGUCAGCUGAAGGAACAAGGCUGCUGAGCCACCCGGUGGGGCUAUGCUCAAGUUGGUUUCACAAAGAACUGUAAUCAUUCGCCAGUCAUUUUCUGUUUUGCCUUAAUUGGAUCUAGCCGAUCUUUUCUAUGAACAGUUCCAGAACUAAGCUGGAGAUCUGUAGCUUUUACAGAGAGGAAGUGUGUUAUCACCAACGAGGACCAGGCUUGCUGAGAAAGGCUCAGAUUCAAGUCAUGAUGUGUACUAUGUACAGAUUGGCACACAUUUGAUGUGUAACCACUGAUACUGUAGUGGUUUGCCAUUUCCUUCUCCAGGUCAUUUUUGUAGAAGAGGAAACUGAGGCAAACAGGGUUAAGUGAUUUGCCCAGGGCCACUCUGUAGGAAGUUUCUGAGGUAUUUGAACUCAAGAAGAAGAGCUCUAUCCACUUCUCCACUUAGCUGUCCAUAUUGAUUAAGAGAACCUGAGUUGAAAAAUCCCAUUUAUAACCACCUCUCAGACAUAGCAGAAGAUGGCCAAAUUGUGAUACACAGCUGAGCUUUUUUCUGAUCAUCCAAAAUAUUAUGUCCAGAUCUACUAUUUUAGAAGGAAUUUCAACAGGCUAGAAAGUAUUCAGAAGAGGGAAACCAGAAGAUGAAAGAGUUAAAAACCCAGUAAUUUAAAGGAAUGGAAUAUUGUAGUGGAGAAACACUGAAUUUGGAUUAAAUCCAAACUAUGACUCUCCUAUUUA